rnacentral:rRNA from 1 species
AGUUGAUCCUGGCUUAGGAUGAACGCUAGCGACAGGCUUAACACAUGCAAGUCGAGGGGCAGCAUAGAAGUAGCAAUACUUGGUGGCGACCGGCGCACGGGUGAGUAACGCGUAUGCAACCUACCUAUCAGAGGGGAAUAACCCGGCGAAAGUCGGACUAAUACCGCAUAAAACAGGGGCACCGCAUGGUGAUAUUUGUUAAAGAAAUUCGCUGAUAGAUGGGCAUGCGUUCCAUUAGGUAGUUGGUGAGGUAACGGCUCACCAAGCCGACGAUGGAUAGGGAACUGAGAGGUUGGUCCCCCACACUGGUACUGAGACACGGACCAGACUCCUACGGGAGGCAGCAGUGAGGAAUAUUGGUCAAUGGGCGGGAGCCUGAACCAGCCAAGUCGCGUGAAGGAAGAAGGAUCUAUGGUUCGUAAACUUCUUUUGCAGGGGAAUAAAGUGCAGGACGCGUCCUGUUUUGUAUGUACCCUGAGAAUAAGGAUCGGCUAACUCCGUGCCAGCAGCCGC